rnacentral:rRNA from 1 species
CAGCUCUCCGAGUGGUAGGGAUGAUUAUUGGGCUUAAAGCGUCCGUAGCCGGCUUAGCAAGUUUCCUGUUAAACCCAGCGACUCAAUCGUUGGAUCGCGGGAAAUACUACUAGGCUAGGAGGCGGGAGAGGUCAACGGUACUUCUGGGGUAGGGGUGAAAUCCUAUAAUCCCGGGAGGACCACCAGUGGCGAAGGCUGUUGACUAGAACGCGCUCAACGGUGAGGGACGAAAGCUGGGGGAGCGAACCGGAUUAGAUACCCGAGUAGUCC